CAGUCGCCACGGUAAUACGGAGGGUGCAAGCGUUAAUCGGAAUUAUUGGGCGUAAAGAGCUCGUAGGCGGUCUGUCGCGUCUGCUGUGAAAACUGGGGGCUCAACCCCCAGCCUGCAGUGGGUACGGGCAGACUAGAGUGCGGUAGGGGAGAUUGGAAUUCCUGGUGUAGCGGUGGAAUGCGCAGAUAUCAGGAGGAACACCGAUGGCGAAGGCAGAUCUCUGGGCCGUAACUGACGCUGAGGAGCGAAAGCAUGGGGAGCGAACAGGAUUAGAUACCCCUGUAGUCCCUGUCUCUUAUAA
rnacentral:rRNA from 1 species